rnacentral:rRNA from 1 species
CUACGGGAGGCUCCAGUGAGGGAUAUUGCACAAUGGGGGGAACCCUGAUGCAGCAACGCCGUGUGGAGGAUGACGCAUUUCGGUGUGUAAACUCCUUUUAUAUGUCAAGAAAAUGACGGUAGCAUAUGAAUAAGCACCGGCUAACUCCGUGCCAGCAGCCGCGGUAAUACGGAGGGUGCAAGCGUUACUCGGAAUCACUGGGCGUAAAGGACGCGUAGGCGGGUUGGAAAGUCAGGUGUGAAAUCCUACAGCUUAACUGUAGAACUGCACUUGAAACUUCUAAUCUAGAGUAUGGGAGGGGGAGAUGGAAUUAGUGGUGUAGGGGUAAAAUCCGUAGAUAUCACUAGGAAUACCUAAAGCGAAGGCGAUCUCCUGGAACAUUACUGACGCUAAGGCGUGAAAGCGUGGGGAGCAAACAGGGUUAGAUACCCUCGUAGUC